CUGGACACCUUGACGGGCCGCACCGCGAAAAAGCGACCCGAUCCCACCGACCG
rnacentral:ncRNA from 1 species